CCUCUCGUAGUUUAGUGGUCAGAACAUUGGUGCGUAAAAGCCAAAGGUCCCGGGUUCGAUUCCCGGCGGGGGUG
rfam:Agrilus planipennis Contig67997, whole genome shotgun sequence.